CAGUUAAAAAGCUCGUAGUUGGAUUUCUGUGGGGGCGGAGCGGCCGGCCGCAACUUGCGGUUCGAGCUAGCGCUUCCCCCACAUCCUGCCGCGAACCGUGCUACCAUUAGUUUGGUGGCGCCGGGGAUCGGCUCGUUUACUUUGAGAAAAAUAGAGUGUUCAAAGCAGGCCACACGCCUUGAAUAAGUUAGCAUGGAAUAAUAAUAAAGGACUUCGGUUCUAUUUUGUUGGUGUUCGGGACUGAAGUAAUGAUUGAUAGGGACAGUUGGGGCGGUCAGUAUUCCAAAGCGAGAGGUGAAAUUCUUAGACCUUCGGAAGACUAACAGCUGCGAAAGCGUUCCGCAAGGAUGUUCCCUUUGAUCAAGAACGAAAGUUGGGGGAUCGAAGACGAUCAGAUACCGUCGUAGUCUCAACUAUAAACUAUACCAGCUAGGGAUCGGUCAACGUUAAAUUAUUCGACUUGAUCGGCACCUUAUGAGAAAUCAAAGCAUCUGGGUUCCGGGGGGAGUAUGGUCGCAAGGCUGAAACUUUAAAGGAAUUGACGGAAGGGCACCACCAGCCGUGGAGCCUGUGGCUUAAUUUGACUCAACACGGGAAAACUUACCAGGUCCAGACAUAGUAAGGAUUGACAGAUUGA
rnacentral:rRNA from 1 species